rnacentral:rRNA from 1 species
AGAGUUUGAUCCUGGCUCAGAGUGAACGCUGGCGGCGUGCUUAACACAUGCAAGUCGAGCGAAGUAUAAAUUGUAGCAAUACAGUUUGUAUUUAGCGGCAGACGGGUGAGUAACACGUAGACAACUUACCUCAUAGAGGGGGAUAGCCCGCCGAAAGGCGGGGUAAUACCGCGUAAGAUAUUUCCGGGGCAUCUUGGAAAUAAGAAACAUCCGCAAGGAUGGCUAUGAGAGGGGUCUGCGGCCUAUCAGCUAGUUGGUGAGGUAACGGCUCACCAAGGCUACGACGGGUAUCCGGCCUGAAAGGGUGAUCGGACACACUGACACUGAGACACGGGUCAGACUCCUACGGGAGGCAGCAGUGAGGAAUUUUGGACAAUGGGGGAAACCCUGAUCCAGCGACGCCGCGUGAAGGAUGACGGUCUUCGGAUUGUAAA